UUAUCGGAGAGUUUGAUCCUGGCUCAGGACGAACGCUGGCGGCGUGCCUAAUACAUGCAAGUCGAGCGGACAGAUGGGAGCUUGCUCCCUGAUGUUAGCGGCGGACGGGUGAGUAACACGUGGGUAACCUGCCUGUAAGACUGGGAUAACUCCGGGAAACCGGGGCUAAUACCGGAUGCUUGUUUGAACCGCAUGGUUCAAACAUAAAAGGUGGCUUCGGCUACCACUUACAGAUGGACCCGCGGCGCAUUAGCUAGUUGGUGAGGUAACGGCUCACCAAGGCGACGAUGCGUAGCCGACCUGAGAGGGUGAUCGGCCACACUGGGACUGAGACACGGCCCAGACUCCUACGGGAGGCAGCAGUAGGGAAUCUUCCGCAAUGGACGAAAGUCUGACGGAGCAACGCCGCGUGAGUGAUGAAGGUUUUCGGAUCGUAAAGCUCUGUUGUUAGGGAAGAACAAGUGCCGUUCAAAUAGGGCGGCACCUUGACGGUACCUAACCAGAAAGCCACGGCUAACUACGUGCCAGCAGCCGCGGUA
rnacentral:rRNA from 1 species